rnacentral:rRNA from 1 species
UACGUAGGGGGCGAGCGUUGUCCGGAAUUACUGGGCGUAAAGAGAGCGUAGGCGGCACUACAAGUCUCAUGUGAAAUACCCGGGCUUAACUUGGGGGUUGCAUGGGAAACUGUAGAGCUUGAGUACAGGAGAGGCAAGCGGAAUUCCUAGUGUAGCGGUGAAAUGCAUAGAUAUUAGGAGGAACACCAGUGGCGAAGGCGGCUUGCUGGACUGAAACUGACGCUAAGGCUCGAAAGCGUGGGGAGCAAACAGG